AGGUAAAUUCUGACCCGCACGAAAGGUGUAAUGAUCCCUUCGCUGUCUCGGCUGCAGACUCGGUGAAAUUUUAGUACCGGUGAAGAUGCCGGUUACCCGCAACUAGACGGAAAGACCCCGUGGAGCUUUACUAUAACUUGAUAUUGAAAUUUGGUGUAACGUGUAGAGGAUAGGUGGGAGACUAUGAGACCAGGACGCCAGUACUGGUGGAGUCAACCUUGGAAUACCACCCUCGUUACAUUGGGUUUCUAACUUCGACCCGUUAUCCGGGUUAAGGACAGUGUCUGGUGGGUAGUUUGACUGGGGCGGUCGCCUCCCAAAAAGUAACGGAGGCGCUCAAAGGUAUCCUCAGUAUGGUUGGAAAUCAUACAUAGAGCGCAAAGGUAGAAGGAUGCUUAACUGCGAGACUUACAAGUCGAACAGAUACGAAAGUAGGACUUAGUGAUCCGGCGGUCCCGAGUGGAAGGGCCGUCGCUCAACGGAUAAAAGUUACCCCGGGGAUAACAGGCUUAUCUCCCCCAAGAGUUCACAUCGACGGGGAGGUUUGGCACCUCGAUGUCGGCUCAUCGCAUCCUGGAGCUGUAGUCGGUUCCAAGGGUUGGGCUGUUCGCCCAUUAAAGCGGUACGCGAGCUGGGUUCAGAACGUCGUGAGACAGUUUGGUCCCUAUCUGUUGUGGGCGUAGGAAAAUUGAAGAGAGCUGUUCCUAGUACGAGAGGACCGGAAUGGACGCACCCCUGGUGCUCCUGUUGUCACGCCAGUGGCAUAGCAGGGUAGCUAUGUGCGGACAGGAUAAUCGCUGAAGGCAUCUAAGCGAGAAGCCCCCUUUAAGAUGAAUUUUCCCAUUUGUAAGAUGUAAGAUCCCAUGUAGACCAC
rnacentral:rRNA from 1 species